UCGCAGGCUCAUUUCGCACUUCAGCAACUUUCUAACACUUUCUUAACGAGGGAGAAGGGGCAGGAGAGAUCGGGGGGCGCAGGGGAGGAGCCGCUCCGGCCCCGGCUUAGUCCCCGCGGGCAGCGACCCGCAUCCCCGAGGCCGGGACCGGUGCGCUCGGCAGCCAGGGCUGAGCCAGGAUGCGGAGCUGACCCCGGUCUUCCCGGGAGGGCUCAGACCCUUCCAGUCCCAGCCCCGGUACCUCGACCUGGCUCGACUGAAAAAAAUUCGAUUGAUCUCGCCGAGUUUAAGCUCGGCCGAGAGGGUAGGGGUGUCCCCGGGGUGCCCGGAGAAGCAGCGGUGCUGCGGGGAGGCGGUGGCCGCUGGGACCGAGGUGGGCAGCAGCUGGGACAGUCCCCAUGGCGAGACGCUUCCCUGGAGCAGGAGGUGACUUAUUUAAAGUUAUUUUCCCCACUUCCUUCACGUAGAAGAGACAAGGACAACACAAGGAAACUUCACACACUGAGAAGGCAUUUCCCAUCUAUGAAAGAAAAACAGAGAGAUGCUGUGUUCACCCCAAAAGCACAGGCUUAGCAGAAGAGCAAGGACAUGUUUGCAUGUCACCAGUGCUUCCAAGGACAUCAGUUACUUGGUUCUUUGCACACUAGCAAAUGGAGCCUUUCCAUUCAAGUCUUCCUGGAGAUACGAGAAGGAAAGUGGCAGGUGAGGAGGGAGAUGGGUGGAUGGAUUUUGGGUAGGCACUGAAGGGUCAUGCCUAUGGUUUAGGUUUGUUUCAAAAUGCCCAAGGUGUAGAAAAAGCCCAGCACAUGUCCACAUUUCCAUGACAGCCAGCUAAAAUGAGCUUAAAGCACAAGCCGCUUUGGGUGAAAAGUCAUUCUCUAAACAGGAAAUAGAAGACUUGAAUCCAAACCUAAGUUAGGAUUGUGGUGUGGAUGUGCUGUUAGCCUCUCCAUUCCUUUGUCCUUUUCUGGGACUGUUUGUGGGCAGGCCACAUCCAAGCCAGGCUUUCAGCCAGAGCUGGGUUCACACCAGCCAAGAGAAGAGACGUCCUAGAGGGUGACCUGAAGUGAUUUAUCCAAGUCACGCAACAGGUGAGUGGCAGGGCAGUUUGAGGGGCAGUUGGGGUGAUCUGAUGCAAAAUUAUCCUUUUUUUUUUUUUUAAUAAUAUUGCCUAGUAAACGAUAUCUUCUUUUUGUUCCUUAUAAGAUUCAACACACUAGUUCUUCCCCUCGCUCUUUUUCAGCUGGUUCAGAUAUAACAUUAGUUAUACAGAAAUGCACAAAGAUGCCAUCAUUUCCUGUAGGCAUGUUUGUGUGUAUUCUACACUUACAGCAGACCCUGUUUUGCUAAAACAUCUACAGGAUCACCAAAGCAGGCAAGCAACUUUUUUAUUUGUCAUUUCGCAGAAAGAAAUUGUAUUGUGACUUUCAAGUAGGAAAAAAAAAUUAGAGAAAUAAUAACAUGACCCAACCGCAAAAAAAUUUUUUUUCAUGAACUAUACCAAUGAAUUGGAAAUGCAAGUAGUAAAAUGAAUUGCCAAAAGUAUCAAAUAUAUGUGUUUUCAAUAACCUUUUUUUUUUUUUUUGUUACCUAGUAAAAUAUUUUCCUGGAGAAGGGUUGUUAAACCCCUCUGUGCAAUAUAAAGGUGCAGUGAUGUAUUGUCUCAGAAGUGGUUUAAUGGAGUUUUGGGGUCCCAUUUUUGUACAUAUUUUCAACACACACAGUGCGUGAUCAAUUUGGAUUUAUAAAAUGUUAUAUAUUUCUUUCUAAGCAAUGACCUUACCUUUUAAAGUAUGUUGCUUAGUUAGGAGUGCAUGUGUGUGUUUGCAUUUUGGCAAGGCAGCAAAUAACAUGCAAUAUUUAUGUCAUUUGACAAAAGUAUUUUGUGUGUUUGCCAAAAGCCAGUCCUUUCUAAGAACCUAAAGGUAUUUGAUCUGCUCUAAAACCUAGUCCUGGGAGGAGGAUUAGGUGAGCGGGAGUCGUGGGCAGAGGGAAGGUCUGUCCAGUCUUUGCAGCUUCAGAGGGCAGGAUUUUAAACAAACAAGAUGGACCUUAUGGCAGCUCAACCUCUUUGAAUGUGUUUCAGUGAAAUGAUUUCAGACUUAACUGUAUCUUUACUGCCAAAAACCUGGGGUUUUGCAAGCAGGUUACUCAUUCAGGUUGGGCUGUGUUGGGUGAAAGUCCAGCCCUAGCUCUCCCGCCAUAGCUACUGGGGACAACCUGGGGAAGCCAAGCCUCCGCAGGGAGCUUUGUUAUUGAAUGGACAGAGCAAAGAUGGCAAAAAGACAGUGUCUUAGUUUACACCAGCAUUUCCCCCUUGGUAGCUGACCCACCUCAGCCAUUUUACCAGGAAAAACCAACCAAGAGCUGAGUGUAAGGAGAUGGGGAAGAUGCGGGGUUUGUACAAUCAUGAUUUAGCCAUAUCCUGAUCUCUGUUAUCCCUACUUUCUUUAUCCAUUGGUGUAACAAAGAUCAGGAUCUGUCCUUGGCUGCCUGGUGUUAGUUCCUGCUUAUUUGUUUCAAAAGGCGAAAGCCCCAUGUCUCGCCCGCACCCCGGCUCACUGUAUAGACCCGUUGCGCUGAAAUCUUUGUGCCAAAUCCAAUGAUAUAACGUUUCAUUCAGAGAAUUUAUCCAUUUCCCCCCCUCUCUUCUCUUUUGCUUUAUCUCUUCCUUCUAUCUUCAGCCUGUCAGGACUUUCACAUACCCGCAGCUGACAGCUAAGAGAUCAGGAACUUUGAUGUUGUAAGGGAUAUUUUAUCUCAGGUAUUUCUCACCAAUUCCUACCUUAUUGUGUAGGGUAUCCAAGGACUCGGAGAGUGAGCAACGCCUUUGUCUGGUAAGAUCAGAGCAAUUUGCAAGCUUUUCUGGGAACAAGGUCCAAUAAAGGGACUUUAGAGAUAUAAUCUGUCAACCCCAUUGAGCAGCACUGUGACAGCAGCCUUAUGAUUAUUGACAGUUUAAGCAUCACUCAGGACAGAACAAGGCUGGGGGGACACAGUUAUUUGUAGUAAGACAUUGUUUUGCUAAGGAAGCGAAGGAAAUAAAUUAUACCUGAAUUCACCACGUUUUCACUGAGUUUCUCCCUCACACAAACAACUGACCCUACUGGGAGCUGCUGCUUUUUGCCAGGAAUUUGGGGAAAAAAGGAAAGAAGAUUCCUCAGAUAUGCAAAGCCUUUUUUUUCUGUUCCCAGUCCCACAGUAAGUACUGUGUGGGGCAGGAGUAAUGAGAGGACAGUGAUGCCCCGAGCCCUGUAUUUGAAAUCCUCUUCUUUACCAUAUACCUCUCUCUGUUCCUCCAAGUCUCCUCAUUCCAGGUGUGUCACUCUGAGGUGGUGGAGGUUUCACCCAGGAUGAACCAUCCAUGGUGUGGAGUACCCUAGAAAAUAACACACAGGAGAAGCUCAGUGAGUCUGUCCAGUCUCAUCUUCACUGCCCACCUGCUGGCUCACCCCACUGGGGCUUCACCAUAUUUAAUUCUUCAGGAGUUUCCCCAUCAUUCAGUGUAUUUGUGAAUAUUUUUUUCUCCCUCAUUAGGCAAGCAUUUGCUUAUUUUAUUUGCAAAGACACCAGCAUCUUCUUUUUCAGUGAACACCCAGGCCUCACAUCUUUAUAAACAUAUUAACAAAUAUGUUCAGUGGUCACAGCUCGGUCUAUCACAGCAAUUAUUUGGGAAUAAAAUGUUUCUGCAGAGGCAAGUACCAGGCCUGUAUCCACCCAUCCCGUCUGUUUCCAUUCUCUUGUUGUCUUAGUCAUCAAGCUGAUGUUAAUAUGCGCUCCUAGUACAUGUUUAAACAUCCUGAAUAAUUGAUCUCUGCUUAUUGAUGAUCAGAUAAGUGUGUCAGUGUUGAUCUUGGAUUGUUCCUCAAGCUCUUUUUUUCUUGCUACUCUCUGAAACCUUCAGCCAUCCUUCGCACCAUGUUCUCUGUCCUCACCUCACAUUUUGAAGACAAUACUUUGUGAUACUGGGGUAGAAAUCCUGCAGUGGCUCAGCAGUGGCUUUGCAGAAUGAGUUGUAGCCCAAAUGCUGAUGAUACCAGCCAUGCAGUUUGGUUGGGUUUCCAAGAUAAAUGCUGAACCCCUUUCCAGCCCCUCUACUGUGCCUGCUGAACGUGCUCUUCCUGAUGGCUGGAGAGACCCACCCUGCGAAGAGCUGUGCAAGGUCAUGCCCACCUGGCAGAGGCAGCAGACAGGGAGCAGGGCAGGAGAAUCUCACUGUCUGGCCACAGAAAAGGGGCUGACAGCAGUUGGGGCUUUGUCGCUGGGUUGCACAGGUGCACAUUUUGUGGUUUCAGUGUCUCUGAACCGCUCAUGGCCCCAGCUGUGAGGUGCUGGCCAUGCCUCUGAGCACCUACCCAACAGGAGGCUCUUGCAACAGCUCCAGCUGUUUCCUCAGUGAGGAAUUCUGACGUUUUUUCCCAAAUCGGCUCAUAAUGACUCAGUUUGAAUCUAAUGAUGCAACCCUGAAGGGAAUCAUCAGCUCCCCAGCUAGAAGGGUCAGCCACCAUCCAGCUCCAGCCCACGUGGCUGCUGAUUGCGGCAGCAUUUUGUGCAGCUCUAUGUAACCUGUCUCAGCCCGUGCCAGUUCCCAGGGGAACAUUCUUUCUGGGGAUACUUCACCCCAUCCAUGAUGGCUCAGGCCAGUGCUUCCCUCCUAGUUGUUGAGGUGUAGGAUGGAAAAGGCCAAUCUGGUUUCGAUUAGGUGAGAGCAAACGUGGUGGUGUUAUCAAGCUGCUGCGCUGGUGGGUGUUUGCAGCUCAGUCCCUCUUAUCAACCUCUGACAUGGUCCUUCCUUGAUGCAGCUCAAGCACCCGAUGAAGAAAGGACCUGGGGGGAGUUCUGCAGUGCAAACAUACUUCCUGCUGCCCGCAGACAGAAAAUCUGACCUAAUACACAUUAAAAAAAAAAGGAUAAACUUUUCAAGCCAUCACUGGCAUUUUGUCUACAUUGGGAGACACACGAGAGGUUCAUUGCCAUGCAAGAUCCAGUCCUAAAUGAAAAUACCCCUCCCAGUGACAGCCUUUCCCACAAUAGUCUGAAGCUGAAAUGACACUAAUUUGCACCUUCCAAUUCAUUAUGCACUCCCAGCUUCAUGAUCCUAUUGAGGUAGAAACCUGGCAAUGACAACUUCACCGAGUCACACACUGAUGUCAUUUGUGCAUUUGUUCACUGGAAUUUGAUUUUUCCAGAUUACGCUGCAACUUCAGCACAAGGUGUUAAAUGAUUUACUGCAGAGUGACAGCGGCAAGGCCAAGAAUAAAACCCAGGUAUCAUUAGUUUCAAGAUACUAUGACACCCAACUAGUGUUAAAAAACACUCCCUGUCACUGCCUCACAUUUUUAUUUAUCAACAAAAGCAGGUUUAUUUUGUUUUAUUCUUAGCAAGACAUUGUUUCACUGGACACCACUAAAAAUGAGAUUUAUCUUCCUUGGAAUAACUACAGACCCUUGCAUUGGUAAUUUAUUCCCCUCCCAUUUCUAAUCUCAUUUCUAUUGAAUGUAUUGUUUUGCUUUCCAUUAUUUAUGCAAUGAGAUCAUUAAAAUGAAUAUUGGAACUUGACAGGUUUGGAGCAGGAAGAAACUUCACUGUGGAUGCAUCCCAAGUAUAAUAGCUUGGAUUUCUGCAGAGCCUUUCUCUGCAGAAAAGACCUCUUUUUAUGCCAUUUAUUCAUGCUUCAGUUUUGCACUUUGGGGACAAAAGGAAGAAAGAAAAUCUGAAUCCUGGAGCCUACAAGAGACAAACCUGCUAAUGCGACAGCAUGUACCUGUGCGAGUGCUUCAGAGGACGAGGCUGCUGGGCUGGAUUCUUCUGCUCACACCGAUGUGAAGAGGAGAGAACGUCCCAGCCAAUGUAUAUGACUCACUGCUGUCACCGCAAAGAUCCCUGACCCCUGUGAGUGCUGCAAGGUUGGGAUCCGCAGCUCCACUGACUCACCUAAAUCCAGAGAAUAAUUACAUUUCACCCAAAAAUAAUCACAGAGUCACUCUCUCCCA